UCCACUCGACCACUGUCUGAACUUGAUAGGCACUGACAUGAUUUGGAUCCACAAGCAUGCAAUCUCUGUGCAAUCAUCACCAUGGAAAAGUACAAGAGCUUGCACAGUUGGAAGCCUCCACCCCUUCCACUCACACUACAGGUAAUCCCCCUCACAGGUCACAGUAGUGAUAUCCUUAGUAUGCCACCUCUUCUAUGAGAAACAUGAGUUGGGCUCCAUGGUUUCGUCGUCUUCCCCUUCUCCCUUUGCGACCCCCCCCCCCCUCUCACCCCACCCUGUUCAUUCUUCAACGAGUGUGCACUUGCUCAGUGAUUGAGCAAGGGGUUCUCUUACAGAAUGAGGCAUAAAAGAUGAAGCCAUUGUCCUAUAACAAUAAAAUAAGUUUUAUCUUGAUAUCCACAAACUCAUGCCAACUAAUACAGUGUUUCCAUUUUACAAAUCUCUCAUCUCAGUACUGUGUAUUCAGCCUCAUCGAUUCCAAGAAUCUAUAUCCAUUUGUCUUUAUUGUGCUACUAACUAGUAUAGUACAAUCUAUGUCCAUUUGUCCUUAUCAGUUAACAGCAGGCCAUCAAUAGAUUGAGAUUAUUUUGAUUUGCUUGUUUCGCUUAUAAUAUUAGAAACUAACCUAUAGUUUGAUUUGGUAAUCUGUAUUGUAUCUAGUACUCGAUUUAUUGAAAAUUUUGUGCACAAAGUAUAAAAUAGAAUCAGUUCUUCAUUCAGGUUGAGAUGACAAUAGACAACUAAACAGCAAUGGAUGCCCACUUCAGACAUUGAUGGUUACAAGGAUGUCAGCCACAUAAAGUCUAUACAGGCUUUAUCAAUCAUCAGUGCAAGCAAUCUUCAA
rnacentral:lncRNA from 1 species